UAAUAAUAUAAUCAAAAAAAAAAAAAGUUUUAAUCCCAUAUUUUGUGAGACACAGAUCUCUACCCAGAUCAAUUUACAUCCUCACAGACCUCGUACGUGUCAUUAGUUUAUUGGUUAGUAUCGGUUUGUUUUGUUUUUUUUUUUCUGUCUUUUCUUCUCAUUCUCUUUCGACAACAUCAAAACAAAGAAACACGAAAUCAAAACUUAUCGAGAUCGGUUGAUGAAUACACUGGAGAAAGAGAUCUCGCCUCGUCGUCUACGAGAUUCGAUUCGAUCAGAGCUGAUUCGAUCCAAGGUCAAGUCUUUGUUUGAUGAUGCUAAAUCCAGCACCCCGGUCAGUGUAUCCAAGAAUUGUACCAAUCUCAAUGUUGCUUGCAAAAGGCUAGCCCUUCCUCUCUACAAUCUCCUCUCAAAUCAGUCAGGGAACCAAAGCGUCAACUCAUUCCUCAGCUUUCGGAGCUAAGCUAUAUCGGAAACUAGAUGUUCAGACUUACACAGCCAUGUUUUGUCUUGCUUUGGUGUGUAUCCCUCUUUCUCUCGUUUGGCUCAACAUGGAAAAGCUUCUUGUGUUCCUGGGACAAGACCCUGCUGCCUGGCUUAUCCCUGGACUCUUUGCUUACUCUGUUCUACAGCCUUUCACUCGCUUCUUUCAAAACCAGAGUUUGAUCUCACCUCUCUGCAUCACUCUGCAGUUAAACUUGUUCUGUUCCUUGGUCUUUCCUGUAAUUUGGUGAUGAUGAUAGGUUUGCUUACGGCUGUUCAUAAGGAUUAUUUUAGAGUUGUGAACUCGAGGGAUUGCACAUGUAUGAUGGUUCUCUUUGGCUAUUGAUGUUUCUUCAUUAAGGUUGGGAGUGCAUUCUGUUUUUGGCCAUAAGAUUAUGUCUGGAAAACGUUAAACAAUGGCAAGGUGAAAAUGUUGUUACCUCCAAAUCCUAGUUCCUUAUUUCCUUGGACUUAUUGGCUUGUAGGUGAAAGUGCUCUGUCUCACACGAUAAAGUACUUCCAUUCUAGUUACUUUUAUUCACACGAUAAAGUACUUCAAUUAUGAUAGGAUAAAACGGUAGAUGGUAACUGUUGCUCAGUUCAGACAGCCUUAAUGUAAUUUGCUUCAGUUCUUCUUAUUCUCCUAUUUCUUCUUGUCCACUUUCCUCUCCUUCUCUACUUACAAAACAUUUUUAAUAAAAAUUUAA